GAGCACUUCCUUGGUAAGGAAGAGGUCACCGGUUCAAAUCCGGUUAUGAGCUCCA
rnacentral:tRNA from 1 species